rnacentral:rRNA from 1 species
GACGGAGGAGGCAAGCGUUAUCCGGAAUUAUUGGGCGUAAAGCGUCCGCAGGUGGCACCUCAAGUCUGCUGUCAAAGACCGGGGCUUAACCCAGAAAGGCAGUGGAAACUGAAGUGACUAGAGUGCAGUAGGGGUAGAGGGAAUUCCCGGUGUAGCGGUGAAAUGCGUAGAGAUCGGGAAGAACAUCGGUGGCGAAAGCGCUCUGCUGGACUGCAACUGACACUCAGGGACGAAAGCUAGGGGAGCGAAUGGG